rnacentral:lncRNA from 1 species
CUUCUUCUACUUCUUCUUCUUCUUAUUAUUAUUAUUAUUCUUUUUUCUCCUCCGCUCUCCUCUUUUUCUUCUUCUUCUUAUUCUUCUUCUUCUUUUUUCUUAUCCUCUUCCUCCUCCUCAUCCUCCUCUUCUUCUUCUUCUUCUUCUUCUUCUACUUCUUCUUCUUCUUCUUCUUUCUCCUCCUCCCCCUCCUCUUCUCCUCUUCCUCUACUCUUA